ACCCAUAGCAAGGUGGUACCACUCCUUCCCAUCCCGAACAGGACAGUGAAACGCCUUCGCGCCGAUGAUAGUGGACGGACGUCUGUGAAAGUAGGU
rnacentral:rRNA from 5 species